AAGGAGAUAAGAUAGGGCGUGCAUAGAUGACCUCUGAGAGAAAAGGGUGGCAUGAGAGAGCUUUCCUACAUGAGAAAAGAAAAGAAAAGGAGAGAAAAGAAAGAAACAAGUGGGCGCAAGUUUCUUCGUAGUGUAUCCUAGGAUUUUGGCCUAGGGUUUGGGAAGUGAGAACGUUUGCUAUGAGUGUCGUGAGCCCACCAAACUUUAGGAAGAGCAUCAACAACCUCUCAAGUACAUCUGCUGAUGAUCUAGAGCAUCCGAGGAGUCGACAGAUCA
rnacentral:lncRNA from 1 species